GACUUUCUGUACUGACCACUCUGUCUGUGUCUCUGUGGUCUGUAUGUCUGUGUAAUGCUUCGCAAAACCAACAAGACAGAAAACAAGAAUCUCUGCUGUUUUCAAACAACCAGACAGAACCAAACAAGGAGGCAUUCUUGAAAGGUCCCGAAGAUGAACUUCCUGAUGAAGACGUCCUCCAGUGUUCGUUCAGCUGCUCCAUCUUCCCCAUGAAGGUUACCUGUCAGAAAUGAAAGGUGAUACUUACCGGGAUGCUGUGACAACCAUCCUUUACGAUGGCCAAUGUGAUGAGGGUGAAACGACUGCUCGUAUGUCACGGCUUUUUCUCCUUUUCCCACCCGGAUGCGAGCGGCAAAAUUCUGAAGACAAAAUGAAAA